rnacentral:piRNA from 1 species
UGGGAGGUAGCAAGGGAAGAGAACACCUCA